GUAGUAUUCCCUCCGUCCCAAAAUUCUUGUCUUACAUUUGUUUAGAUACGGAUGUAUCUAACACUAAAAUGUAACUAGAUACAUCAUAUUUAGACAAAUUUAAGACAAGAAUUUUGGGACGAAGGGAGUACAAA
rfam:Triticum aestivum genome assembly, contig: Triticum_aestivum_CS42_TGACv1_scaffold_030982_1BL